rnacentral:ribozyme from 1 species
CAUUGAUAAUGAAAUAGAAAGAAAUAAGAAGAAGGGGAAGGGGAAGAUAAGGAGAGAAUACUGCAGGCUCAUUAUUCAUUCAUCUUCAUAUUUUUUUUGCGAUUAUUAUUUAUUGUUGUUCCAA